rnacentral:rRNA from 1 species
UACGGGGGGAGCAAGCGUUGUUCGGAUUUACUGGGCGUAAAGGGCGCGUAGGCGGCCACCGCAAGUCGACUGUGAAAUCUCCGGGCUUAACCCGGAAAGGUCAGCCGAUACUGCGGGGCUAGAGUGCAGAAGGGGCAACUGGAAUUCUCGGUGUAGCGGUGAAAUGCGUAGAUAUCGAGAGGAACACCUGCGGCGAAGGCGGGUUGCUGGGCUGACACGUUGACGCUGGAGGCGCGAAAGCUAGGGGAGCGAACGGG